CGCUGGCGGCGUGCUUAACACAUGCAAGUCGAGCGGAAAGGCUCCUUCGGGGGUACUCGAGCGGCGAACGGGUGAGUAACACGUGAGUAAUCUGCCCUUGGCUUUAGGGUAAGCCCCGGAAACGGGGUCUAAUACCGGAUACGACGCACUCUCGCAUGGGAUGUGUGUGGAAAGUUUUUUCGGCCAGGGAUGUGCUCGCGGCCUAUCAGCUUGUUGGUGGGGUAAUGGCCUACCAAGGCUUCGACGGGUAGCCGGCCUGAGAGGGUGACCGGCCACACUGGGACUGAGACACGGCCCAGACUCCUACGGGAGGCAGCAGUGGGGAAUAUUGGACAAUGGGCGGAAGCCUGAUCCAGCAACGCCGCGUGAGGGAUGACGGCCUUCGGGUUGUAAACCUCUUUCAGUACCGACGAAGCGCCGAUGAUGGUGGUGACGGUAGGUACAGAAGAAGCACCGGCCAACUACGUG
rnacentral:rRNA from 1 species